UACGUAGGGUGCAAGCGUUGUCCGGAAUUAUUGGGCGUAAAGAGCUCGUAGGCGGUCUGUCACGUCGGCUGUGAAAACCCGAGGCUCAACCUCGGGCCUGCAGUCGAUACGGGCAAACUAGAGUACUGCAGGGGAGACUGGAAUUCCUGGUGUAGCGGUGAAAUGCGCAGAUAUCGAGAGGAACACCUGAGGUGAAGACGGGUUGCUGGGCCGACACUGACGCUGACAGCGCGAAAGCCAGGGGAGCAAACGGG
rnacentral:rRNA from 1 species